CAGCCGCCGCGGUAAUACGUAGGGGGCGAGCGUUACCCGGAUUCACUGGGCGUAAAGGGGGUGUAGGCGGCUCGGUAAGUCGGGUGUGAAAUCCCACGGCUCAACCGUGGAAUUGCGCCCGAAACUGCCGAGCUUGGGGCCGGUAGAGGGAGACGGAACUGCCGGUGUAGCGGUGAAAUGCGUAGAUAUCGGGAGGAACACCAGUGGCGAAGGCGGCCUCCUGGCCCGCUCCUGACGCUGAGACCCGAAAGCGUGGGGAGCAAACCGGAUUAGAUACCCGGGUAGUCCACGCCGUAAACGGUGGGCACUAGGUGUGGGGGGUUAAUCCCUCCGUGCCGAAGCUAACGCAUUAAGUGCCCCGCCUGGGGAGUACGGCCGCAAGGUUGAAACUUAAAGGAAUUGGCGGG
rnacentral:rRNA from 1 species